rnacentral:lncRNA from 1 species
ACAUACCACUACGGGUAAUUGGAAAACCCGACGUGGAAUCCCCAUAAUUUUAAAUAAAAAUUACUGAAGAAAUUAGGAUACCACGUCGGGUAUUAAACGACCCGACGUGGAAAGUACAUACUUACAACGACGACUGCAUUUACUACUGGCCACCACCCGACGUGGAAAGUCCAUUUGGCCAGUAGUGGAAACCCCUUUCUGCACUAGUGAUU